AUGCCAAGGGCAGUGGGUGGCGGCUGGCAGUCAAGUAGAGGAGGAGCAGCUGCAGAGACAGCAAAACAUCAAGGGAGGGUCUGAAGGAUGCCCCUCUGCCACAGUCUGAGGUAUCUUCCUGUGGAGACAAAAGACCCUGUAAACAGCCAUAUAGGUUUCUAAAAAUUGCUGGGGAUGUGCAGAUCCAGAAGGAAAAAAGCUCAGACCCAAGCUCAACCAAGGCAGGGACACAUGAAGCAGCUAGAGCUGAAGCAAGCAACAGACUAUAUAACUCUGACCAUGAGUGGGACUUCCAUGAUGCACUAGCCUUGCUCUGGACCUCUUGCACUUGAACUGCCAGUGUUCAAGGUUGAGCCUGAGACCAGAACUGUUAAAGCACAUGCUCUAAACCAUCAAAGGAUACCUCGUA